GAUGAACGCUGGCGGCGUGCCUAACACAUGCAAGUCGAGCGAAGCACUUUGCUUAGAUUCUUCGGAUGAAGAGGAUUGUGACUGAGCGGCGGACGGGUGAGUAACGCGUGGGUAACCUGCCUCAUACAGGGGGAUAACAGUUAGACACGACUGCUAAUACCGCAUAAGACCACAGCACCGCAUGGUGCGGGGGUAAAAACUCCGGUGGUAUGAGAUGGACCCGCGUCUGAUUAGCUAGUUGGUAAGGUAACGGCUUACCAAGGCGACGAUCAGUAGCCGACCUGAGAGGGUGACCGGCCACAUUGGGACUGAGACACGGCCCAAACUCCUACGGGAGGCAGCAGUGGGGAAUACUGCACAAUGGGGGAAACCCUGAUGCAGCGACGCCGCGUGAGCGAAGAAGUAUUUCGGUAUGUAAAGCUCUAUCAGCAGGGAAGAAAAUGACGGUACCUGACUAAGAAGCACCGGCUAAAUACGUGCCAGCAGCCGCGGUAAUACGUAUGGUGCAAGCGUUAUCCGGAUUUACUGGGUGUAAAGGGAGCGUAGACGGAUGGGCAAGUCUGAUGUGAAAACCCGGGGCUCAACCCCGGGACUGCAUUGGAAACUGUACAUCUAGAGUGCUGGAGAGGUAAGUGGAAUUCCUAGUGUAGCGGUGAAAUGCGUAGAUAUUAGGAGGAACACCAGUGGCGAAGGCGGCUUACUGGACAGUAACUGACGUUGAGGCUCGAAAGCGUGGGGAGCAAACAGG
rnacentral:rRNA from 1 species